AUUGAACGCUGGCGGCAGGCCUAACACAUGCAAGUCGAACGGUAGCAGAGAGAGCUUGCUCUCGGGUGACGAGUGGCGGACGGGUGAGUAACGUCUGGGAAACUGCCCGAUGGAGGGGGAUAACUACUGGAAACGGUAGCUAAUACCGCAUAACGUCGCAAGACCAAAGUGGGGGACCUUCGGGCCUCACACCAUCGGAUGUGCCCAGAUGGGAUUAGCUAGUAGGUGGGGUAAUGGCUCACCUAGGCGACGAUCCCUAGCUGGUCUGAGAGGAUGACCAGCCACACUGGAACGGAGACACGGUCCAGACUCCUACGGGAGGCAGCAGUGGGGAAUAUUGCACAAUGGGCGCAAGCCUGAUGCAGCCAUGCCGCGUGUAUGAAGAAGGCCUUCGGGUUGUAAAGUACUUUCAGCGGGGAGGAAGGCGGUGAAGUUAAUAGCUUCACCGAUUGACGUUACCCGCAGAAGAAGCACCGGCUAACUCCGUGCCAGCAGCCGCCGUAA
rnacentral:rRNA from 1 species